rnacentral:rRNA from 2 species
GGACUACCGGGGUUUCUAAUCCCGUUUGCUCCCCUGGCUUUCGCGCCUCAGCGUCAGCAAGGGUCCAGUGCGCCGCUUUCGCCGCCGGCGUUCCUUCUGAUAUCAACGCAUUUCACCGCUCCACCAGAAGUUCCGCGCACCCCUACCCUCCUCCAGCCCGCCGGUAUCGGAGGCCCUUCCGCGGUUAAGCCGCGGGAUUUCACCCCCGACCUCGCGAGCCGCCUACGCGCCCUUUAAGCCCAGUGAUUCCGAACAACGUUCGCACGGUUCGUCUUACCGCGGCGGCUGGCAC